rnacentral:rRNA from 1 species
AACGAACGCUGGCGGCAUGCCUAACACAUGCAAGUCGAACGAGAUCUUCGGGUCUAGUGGCGCACGGGUGCGUAACGCGUGGGAAUCUGCCCUUUGGUCCGGAAUAACAGUUGGAAACGACUGCUAAUACCGGAUGAUGACGAAAGUCCAAAGAUUUAUCGCCAGAGGAUGAGCCCGCGUAGGAUUAGCUAGUUGGUGUGGUAAAGGCGCACCAAGGCGACGAUCCUUAGCUGGUCUGAGAGGAUGAUCAGCCACACUGGGACUGAGACACGGCCCAGACUCCUACGGGAGGCAGCAGUGGGGAAUAUUGGACAGUGGGCGAAAGCCCGAUCCAGCAAUGCCGCGUGAGUGAUGAAGGCCUUAGGGUUGUAAAGCUCUUUUACCCGGGAUGAUAAUGACAGUACCGGGAGAAUAAGCUCCGGCUAACUCCGUGCCAGCCGCUGCGGUAA